rnacentral:rRNA from 1 species
CCUAAUAGGAAAUUUAAGAGCAUAUGGUGGAUGCCUUGGCUUCUGAGAAGCGAUGAAGGACGUUGUGUAGCGACGAUAAUUUCGGGGAGCUGCCGAACAAGCUUUGAUCCGAAAGUCUCCGAAUGAGGAAACUCCAUCGAGAGCGAUCUCGAUGACCCUAGUCUAAGAUUAGGGAGCGCACCCUGGGAAGUAAAACAUUUCAGUACCAGGAGGAAGAGAAAACAAAAUAUGCGUAUGCAUAUAACAUUUCCUUAGUAGUGGCGAGCGAAAGGGAAACAGCCCAAACUCAGUCUUAAUCGUGUGGUGUGUAGCAAUACAUCUCACGCGAUUAAGACUGGGGGUAGUAAGAUGGAGACGUAACCGUUUACGGUUGGAAAAGUCAAAAAAUGUUUCGUUAGCAGAAUGUGCUGGAAAGCACAGCCCUAGAGAGUGAUAGCCUCUUAUGCGAAAAUGAAACAUCUUUUCUGUCUCUAUUCUUGAGUACCUCAGGACACGAAUAGCCUGAGGGAAUCUGCCGGAACUAACCGGUAAGGCUAAAUAUUCCAGAAGACCGAUAGUGAACUAGUACCGUGAGGGAAAGGUGAAAAGCAGCCCGGUGAGGGCGGUGAAAUAGAACUGAAACCAUAUGCUUACAAGGAGUCGGAGCGGACUGUCGCAAGACAUGUUCCGUCACGGCGUGCCUAUUGAAGAAUGAGCCAACGAGUUGAUGCGUGCUGCAAGGCUAAGGGCUUGAAUGCCCGGAGCCGCAGGGAAACCGAGUGUUAAUAGCGCGAAUCAGUAGUACGUAUCAGACCCGAAGCCGGGUGAGCUUGCCAUGUGCAGGUUGAAAUACUUCGAAAGAAGUAUGGAGGACCGAACGCUAGAGACGUGCAAUACUCUGCGAUGACAUGUGGUACGGAGUGAUAAGCUCAUCGAACUCGGUAAUAGCUGGUUCUCUCCGAAAUAUGUUUAGGCAUAGCGUCGAUUGUUCCCUUGGGGGGUAGAGCACUGGAAGAUUCUGACAGGUCGAAAGAUCGCAGAACCUAUCAAACUCCGAAUACCCAAGGCUAAAGAUCGGCAGUAAGUCCGUGGGGGCUAAGCUCCACAGGACAAAAGGGAAACAGCCCUAAUCUCAAUUUAAGGUCCCAAAAUUCAUGCUAAGUACAAGCGAGGUGGUGGAUCUUCUCUGACGGUGAGGAUGUUGGCUUAGAAGCAGCCAUCAUUUAAAGAAAGCGUAACAGCUCACUCACUUAGAGGGUCUGCGCCGCAGAUGAUCGGGGUUAAAGCAUGGUACCGAAACUGAGGACUGCAUUUCGCUUCGGCGAGAUGCAUUGGUAGGAGAGUAUUCUACUCUGCGAUGAAGGCAAAGGGGUGACCCAUGCUGGAGCGUGUAGAAGUAAGAAUGUUGGCACAAGUAACCACAAUGCGGAUGAGAUAUCCGCACGUCGAAAGAUUAAGGUUUCCUUCGCAAUGGACUUCAGCGAAGGGUUAGUCGGGCCUAAGGGGAUGGCGAAAGCCGUACCUGAUGGACACACGGUUAAUAUUCCGUGACUUCUGGGUGGUGCGAUGGGAUGACGGAGCACAGUAUCUGUAGCCCCUUAUUGGAUUGGGGUUUCUAGCGUCAGGGCGAUUUCCAGGAAAAUCCGGAAGUCUGCGUUUAAUCGCGAGCCUAAGCGUAUGAGGGAAGGCAUAGCUUGCUAUGCGGAACUACAGAGAGCGGGCUUUCAAGAAAACUCUCUAAGCAUAACCAUUCAGGAACCGUACCGAAAACCGAAACAGGUGAUCAGCUCGAGUAGAGUAAGACGAACGAGUGAAGGUACUUCAAGGAACUCGGCAAAAAAGCAGCCGUAAGUUAGCGAUAAGGCUUGCCCUUCUUCGGAAGGGCCGCAGCUAAAGUAUGCCUGGCGACUGUUUAUCAAAAACACAGCUCCCUGCGAACUCGUAAGAGGAUGUAUAGGGGGUGACACUUGACCAAUGCCAGAAGGUCAACCAGCGGCGGUGCUAUGUAUUUAUAUAUAGUGCUGACUGCUGUAAGCCCUGGUGAAUGUCGGCGGUAACUAUAACCGUCCUAAGGUAGCGCAAUUCCUUGUCAGGUAAGUUCUGACGCGUUGAAUAGUGUAACGUCUGGGCAACUGUCUCGAAGUACAGCUCGGUGAAAAUACAAUCCCGGUGAAGAUGCCGGGUACCUGCAGUUAGACGAAAAGACCCUAGAAGCUUUACUACAGCUUGAUAUUGAGCAUACGAUUGCGAUGCGUAGCAUAGAUGGGAGGAUUUGAAGGACGCUUUCGGGCAGUCUGGAUCCGUCAGUGAAAUACCAUUCUUCGUCGUUGUAUGUUCUAACCCCGAGGGCAAAAACCGCGGGAGACAGUAUCUGGUGGGUAGUUUUAGUGGGGCGCUAUCCUCCUAAAAAGUAACGGAGGAGCCUAUUAAGGUCAGCUAGUCGCGGAUGGAAACCGUGACGAUAGUGUAUGGGCAUAAGCUGGCUUAACUGUAAGACGUACUUGUCGAGCAGAUGCGAAAGCAGAGCUAAGUGAACCGACGGAUCGCGUUAGAUGCGGCCGGAGAUUAUCGGACAAAAGCUACUCUAGGGAUAACAGGCUCGUUCCGCCUAAGAGUUCAUAUCGACGGCGGAGUUCGGCACCUUAACAAAUCGGGGUGCCAUGCGAGAAAUUGCAUGAGUCGUUUUACCAUACCGGGUGUAGGAGCCCGUGGGUAAAAUCAAAAAUUUGGCUUAUAACGGUGGACUCCAUAUAAAUCGAACAGGUUAUAUGGACAAUACCGUGGGAAGUCCAACGCGUACUUUUUGGUACAUGUUGUGACCCCGUAGAGACUUGCUCCCUUGCGGAGCGGAGUCGUCGCGCGGAGCGACGGCUAAGACGCCAACUCCUCUCGAAAGAGGGGAUGAAGAUAUAGUCCAAUCCUUCCGGUAACGGAAGACAGUGUUAGUUAAUGACAGCGAUGUCGGCUCGUCUUAUCCUGGGGCUGGAGAAGGUCCCAAGGGUUUGGCUGUUCGCCAAUUAAAAAGGCACGUGAGCUGGGUUCAGACCGUCGUGAGACAGGUUGGUCUCCUAUCUACUGCAGGCGUUGAUUCUUGAGGAGAUUUGCUUCUAGUACGAGAGGACCGAAGUGAACGGACCGCUGGUCUGCCUGCUGUCACGCCCGUGGCAAUGCAGGGUAGCUAUGUCCGGAACGGAUAACCACUGAAAGCAUCUAAGUGGGAAGCCGACUCCAAGAUAAGGAAUCGUUGAGAGCCCUAGAAGACUACUAGGUUGAUAGGCCUUAGGUGUACGCACAGCAAUGUGUUGAGCCGAGAGGUACUAAUUGCUCGAUCCUAUUAGGAA